rnacentral:lncRNA from 1 species
ACAGGUCCAGUCCUCUCUUGCCAGGAGCUCCGUUGGCGCUGCAACCAUCUUGACUUGGAAUCAACCACCCUAUAGGCCACGCUGUAGCCUUAGAUACUCUAACUCGUGAAAUUUUCAUCGACCGUCGUCCAUAGGGCAAGGCACGCUUCUGCCCUCUGUGGGACAGAGUUGUCGAUGAUUAUAGGUGCGGAUACCCGCUUCAGCCUGUGUUAAUCGGGGAUGCAGCCCCCCACCCUUCCUGCCGUGGUUCUACCCAGCCUGCUGCGGACGCCUGAGCCAGGUGCGUCACCCCCACCUGGGCUGACCAGGCCAGGACUUCGUCGUCCGCGGGACGCUGGGGGGCGCCUGCCGACUGGCACCGGCGGCUAGCUCCGCACGAAUGGGAAAUCCCGGGCUCCGCUCGCCAACCUGUUACUGCUGCAGAACGCCAGGAAGCUCAGCCUGAUCCCACAGAUUAGGGUAAAAUAUCCCGGGGGGCCGAAGUGGAAACCGGAGUUGCGUCAUUGCUCCCACCCGAUAUCACCUUGGCAGCGACCGCGGCUGACCACGUUCCCGGCCUGUCGCGAAUCUCACCCAAGGGAGCUGAGUCUCAGCUUCCCUGGUCCCUGGUCCCGAGUUCCGCCUUCCCCCCCCGCCCCGUGGCAUCGGCGUGAGGGGAAAAGAUAAAGACUACCUCCUGAGACCUGGAAUUGUGGAUGGCUGCGGAAAACUCACCACAGGAAAUUUUGGCUUAAAGUUAUUCUCUGCUUCCCUUGACUGUGUGAUAGGCACCGCUCUAUCUGCUAGAGGACAGGUGAAAAAGAUGGGGUUCCCUCUUCUUAGAACUCACUGUGCAGUGGGAGAAUGUAUAAAUAAAUAGUAAUUACAACAUAAUCUUCUGGAAUAGAAAUGCUCACAAAAUCAUCCAGCAGUCGAUGACCUCCUUUAGCCAGGGAAGAUAUUGCUAUUCGCCUCUUACAGAGGAGGAAACCAUGGCUCAGAGGGACAAGGUGAAAGGGUGGGAAAUUGAGGCAUAGAAAGUUUAAGUGAUAUGCCCAACAUGACUCAGCUAAUCAAUGAAGGACUAGUGCUAGAGCCCAGCAAAUCUGCUGGUGCAAUGGUCUCUGAACCAUUUCUGAGACAGCUAUGCUGGACUACAUCAUAACCAGCCCCUCACAACUCAAUAAUAGGGUUAAAAGAAAUAGACUGAGAUUAAAUAGAAGGAAGAACCUUCCAACAGUGAAGUUUGUUAAGCACUGCAACAGUUCAUUAUGGAGGUAUCAUGGCAACUUUCUGGGAAGACUUAAACAAAAGACAGAAGAGAGGCAUAGCGUUUGAUUGAACUUGGGAAUGGACCAUUUAUUCUGAGAAACAGAUGAAGUGCCCCUUUAGAGGUCCUGCCAGUCUGAUGGAUGGAUUCUCUACCUGUAAUGAAAGUAAUAGGAAGGAUCCCCUUGCCCAAAGCAUCGUGGGAAAGCUAGCGGUGAUUCUUGUGGGAAGAAAAGCAUAAGAGGAAAUUUCCAACCACCAAUACCUUGGGACAUUCUCUGCAAGUCCCAUGAGCCUCUGAAAGAGGUUGAACACUCAGAAGUCACUUUUGUGGUGCUUGACUGGCCUGACAUCUUGCAAAUAAACCUUAUCAAAAGAUGGUGGAAGAUGCGUACUAAGUAUUCCGUAGUAACUGAGAGUUAGUCUUUUUUCACAGCCUUUGUUGGAGGAGAGGUACUUGUAAUUCACAUGUGUAAACUGCUUUAUAAUUUAAAAAUUCUUUGGAAUAUCUUACUUGAUCUUUAUCAUAGCCUUUUCAGACAUGAAGAGUAAAAAAUACCGUUCCAUUGUACAACUGAUGUGCAGAGUUGUCAAGGUUUCUACAGCUGAGGAGUGUCAGAGCUACUGGACCCAGAUCUUCUCUCUGCACAUCCCACUGUUUCAUGCUGCCUCUAAAAAACAAAAAAAAAAUUUCCAUGCAUGCACUUUUCACAGAGUUGAAGAACUCAGAGGUUCUGCGUUUGGCAGAUGGGCAAGAUUAUAGAUGUCAUCACGGUCCCCAGCACAUGCCGUCAUCAGCCCCGUCACCUUGUCUGUAACCAUGUUCUUCCCAUAUUCCCCCAAUACCUGAACUGUUCUCUCUCAUCCACCUCUCCAGACCCUCUCCUCUUUCAGGUCCUGCCUAUUCCAUCAGGCUUUUCCAACAUCUCCAGGAAAGGAACUGUCAAUUCUCUGGUCUUUGUAGCGCAUGCAUUUUCUAUAUUGCAUGGUUUGGCACCUGCUAAUGAACCAUCUUGUAUUUACAUUGAACAAAGAUAGAUUUUUUUUUGCCUGUUUUAUUCUUAGAAGGAAGGUUAUUUUGUGAAAGUAGAAAAGCAACAUCAUAUGAGAUUCACUUCUCCUGUGUUCUGUUGUAAUCCCUAAUUGUCUCUGGACCCUACUUCUCCCUAGCCAGGUACACAACUGGAAAGGGAGGUUGCUGUCCCACACCGUGUUCUCUUGAUGCCUCGAUGACAAGCACCAUUCC